rnacentral:sRNA from 1 species
AAAUAUAAUUCAUGUUUUAGAGUGUCACUUGUAAAUCUGAUGUAGUAGGAUUCUUUUGCCAUUUUACUUGUGCUAAAUCAUAUAAACUAAGAAAUAGUUUGAUUUUUGGUUCUGGGACAAUGUCAUAAAUUUGGUAUUAGCCAAAGUGCUAGUCUUGGGGAAAAAAUGAGGUAGUAGUAAAAUCAGGAAGCUAAUCUUUAAUAGGCACUUAAUCCAUAAAUAGCUGACUUCCCUUGGAUGUUUAAUCCUGGUCGACUGUUUCUGGUAUUGAUUAUUUUCCCUGGGUUGUAAUGUUUGUAAUGAAAAGUUUUAUUCUUUGGAGAUUCGAAAAAUUGCUUUUCAUGAGUCCUUUAUCUUCCAGGCUCUAAAUUAUCUUGGUAUUCAGCCCACAAAGGAACAACACCAAGCCCUGAGACAGCAAGUACAAGCAGACUCAAAAGGGACAGUGUCUUUUGGAGAUUUUGUCCAGGUUGCCAGAAACUUGUUUUGCUUGCAGUUGGAUGAAGUAAAUGUUGGUGCACAUGAAAUUUCCAAUAUAUUAGAUUCACAGCUUCUUCCUUGUGAUUCUUCAGAAGCAGAUGAAAUGGAAAGACUCAAGCGUGAAAGAGAUGAUGCCUUGAAAGAAGUAAAUACACUUAAGGUAACCUCUAAUUUAGUUUCCUUAUGUUUUCUUCAGAAAAAAAAGAAAAA